UCAUUACCCAGGUUUCCCUACGAAAGAGGACACGCAUUUCGUCAUCAAUAUAGCAGAGGCUGGUUUCUUUGCCUUUGCCGACACAGAAAUCACCUACCAGAGGGCGGAAAGCCAGACUCCAGUUGGCUAAGCUAAGCGUGAACCUGGGAUGGCCUCAGUGCUUUGCAGGAGGGUUAUCAGGUGCCCACUGCAGGAGAUCCAGCAUCUGGACUGAGCUCUGGAGAGAAUGUUCUGAGUUGGCUGGACAGUGCUGGGCAGUGGAGGAUGACCAGCUCCCUGAGGCGGAACCCUGGGUGUCUACUGAUGGAGACGGUGUCAGAUAAUGGGUAAGAGUUUGGGCUUCAGAACCUGGCAAGACUGGGUUGAGCCCUGGCCCUGUCAUUGGCCUGCUGUGUGAUCCUGGGGGAUUUACAGAGACUUGAUUUUCUCAUCUGUAAAAUGGGAACAAUACUUACCUUAAUACCUUCACUUAGCACGAUCGCCAGUGGCCUAUGUACUAGAUUCUGCUCUAACAAAUAUCCACAAACUUGAUGGCUUUAAGCAACAGAAAUGUAUUCUCUCACAAUUCUGGAGGCCAGAAUUUGGUGGUGUUAGCGUUCCAGAUUUUGGCCAUUCGAAAAGAUGGGUAGUGAUAUCUCAUUGUUUAAUUUACACUUUCCUGAUGACAUAGUCUGUGGAGCAUCUUUUUAUAUGUUUAUUUGCCACCUGUGUAUCAUCUCUGGGGAGAUGUGUACUAAGGUCUUUGGCCCAUAUGUUAAUUGGGCUGCUUGUUAUCUUGUUGAAUUUUAAGAGUUCUUUAUAUAUUUUGGAUAGCAGUCUUUUAUCAGAUGUGUCUUUUGCAAAUAUUUUCUCCCAGUCUGUGGCUUGUCUUCUCAUUCUCUUGACAUUGUCUUUCACAGUUCAUUCUAUUUUUUGAUGUUAUGAAGUGAACCAUCAAAAUAACUGAAAAUAAGGCUAUAGUCUCGACUACUGAAAGAUAAAGGGAAAGACGAAGUGUGUGAUAAUUUUCUCAUCUUUUAGAGCAGAAGUAGGCACAUGAAGGCCCAUGGGCCAGAUUCUACUUGUCACCUGGUUUUGUAAAUAAAGUUCUGUUAGAGCACAGACAUGCUCAUUCAAUUACUUAUUGUCUAUGGUUGCUUUCAUGCUACCACAGAAGUGAAUAACUGUGACAGAGACCAUAUGGCCUGCAAGGCCUAAAAUAUUUACUCUUUACCCUUUAUAUAAAAAAAUUUGGUGACCAACGUUUUAGAGCAAGACCUCAAGACAUCCAAGAAGCAGGGAUUACAUGUCAUUCAAAAAAUUAUGAAGACAACUACUAGAGGGUUAGAACGUAUUUUGUGUACUUUGCAACUCACAAGAAAGAAAACGUAUACUCAAGACACGUAAGACAAUUCGUGUGGGAAAUAAUGAGUAUAGAGAAAGCAUUUAAAGCAACAAAAAUGAGGAUAAAAUGAGACCCAGAAAUAUCUAUUAUUUAAAUAAAAUAAAGGAGACAAGCUUACUAAUUAAAUUAACAAGUUGAACGUUAAGUUGUAUUUAAGAGAUGGAUUAAAAAUAAAAUGAUGCAAAAAUCAAGAGUGACUUGUGGUUAAAAUGACUAGAUACUAUCUUCCCCCAGAGACCUACUAAAAUGAUAGCAA